rnacentral:misc_RNA from 1 species
GAUGAAGAACGUAGCGAAAUGCGAUAAGUAGUGUGAAUUGCAGAAUUCAGUGAAUCAUCGAAUCUUUGAACGCACAUUGCGCCCUUUGGUAUUCCUUAGGGCAUGCCUGUUCGAGCGUCAUUUAAACCUUCAAGCUCAGCUUGGUGAUGGGUGACUGUCCUCCCCUCGCGGGGGGACUCGCCUCAAAAACAUUGGCGGCCGGUACAUUGGCUUCGAGCGCAGCAGAAACGCGGUCUCGAGCCCGGUGGAUCGGCUCCCAUAAGUCUAUUCUUUUAUUUUGAUCUCGGAUCAGGUAGGGAUACCCGCUGAACUUAAGCAUAUCAAUAAGCGGAGGA